ACUUGAAUAGUUUAAUUAGAAUAGUAAUUUGUGGAGUUACUGGUGCAGUAUUAUGCUUUAAGUC
rnacentral:tRNA from 1 species